rnacentral:rRNA from 1 species
UAGGGAAUUUUCGUCAAUGGGCGCAAGCCUGAACGAGCGAUGCCGCGUGAGUGAAGAAGGCCUUGGUCGUAAAGCUCUGUUGCCGGGGAAAAAGGAAGGAAAGAGGAAAUGCUUUUCUUUGGAUGGUACCCGGCCAGAAAGUCACGGCUAACUACGUGCC